rnacentral:rRNA from 1 species
GGAAGUAAAAGUCGUAACAAGGUUUCCGUAGGUGAACCUGCGGAAGGAUCAUUAUCGAGCGAGGCCCGUCCCCUCCCUCCAUCCCGUGCGUACCCUCCAGCUGCCUCGGCCGCCCUCCCGCUCCGGCGGGCCGCCCGCCGAGGCCCCUCUCAAACCCUGUCCAACGUUGAGUCUGAGUGAUAUACCAAUCAAAAACAAAACUUUCAACAACGGAUCUCUUGGUUCUGGCAUCGAUGAAGAACGCAGCGAAAUGCGAUAAGUAAUGUGAAUUGCAGAAUUCCGUGAGUCAUCGAAUCUUUGAACGCACAUUGCGCCCUCGAAGGGCAUGCCUGUUCGAGCGUCAUUACUCCCUCCAAAUCCCCCCUGGUGUUGGACCGCGUUGGACCGUCGCGGGUCUCAAAGACGGCGUCCAUGGGACCCUCUUCUGAGCUUUCCGGAGCACGCGUCGAGUGCAAGGUCUCGUGGGCCCGGCCACCUCUCUAAUAGGUUGACCUCGGAUCAGGUAGGGAUACCCGCUGAACUUAAGCAUAUCAAUAAGCGGAGGA